CAAAUAGGCAGAUAUCAUCAACACAACACAGUCAAGGCUAUUAGUCAAUAGUCAACACUAACUUCUCCCCUUGUUUUUGUUUCAAUAAGCCUAAAUUUCAUUUUCACCCAACAGAGGGUAGUGGAGUGAAAUUAUUCAACAAAAGAAAAUAGUUCAACAGGUUGUUCGAUCAAUUAGGGUUUAAUCUCUUACGAUUAUUUGAUCCAAUUUCAGCAUUGAAUAUGGCCGUCUCGAAAUCCGGUGCCGGAGAAUUCUUUCCAGACAAGAAGCACGUCAGAAACUCUUUAGUCACCGUUGGUGCUUUUAUUACCACUGGUGUGCUAACGGCUAGAUUGAUUAGUUUUAGACGAGGUAACUCUCAUUUAGGGCAGAAACUAAUGAGGGCUUGUGUGGUGGUCCAAGGCGCUACGGUGGCUCUUGUGGUUGGCACUGCCUAUUAUUAUGGAACCCAAUUUUGUCAAGUUGGAUCAGUUUGAAUUUAAGUUAAAAAAAUAUUAAGCCUAAUUCAAACCAAAUCAAAUACAUACAUUUUAAUUGGCUUGAGUAUAUUUUUCGUUUAAAUUCAAUCCCACUCGAUCCUAUAACACUUCUAAUAAAUGAUGAGCACAUUGUGGUUGCUUAGAAUUAAUAUGUCAUUGAUACGAGUCCAAGUACCAAUCCUGGCCCAAUGGAGGAGACUAUGGAUGAUGAAGGAGUGUUUGGGUUGAGUAAUUCAGGUCUCCAGUAGAAGAACAAAAGGGAAGUAGAAGAACAAAAGGGAAAUGAGGCAGUCAGAUUGGAUGAAGGACUAUGAAGCAUGAAGGAGCGUAAAUUCGUCGGUAAUAAUUUAACCUGACGAAUUCGACGCCUUUCCCGCUGGUAAAUCCACCGCUACUCUGCGACACUAAAUCCGACAGUAUUCAGCGUUUUUCUUGUAGUGGAUGUUGCUGCUGAUCUUGCUGAAACGAUGGAACCACUCGCGAUUACUCCUCACAAACGACCUAAAAGGAGCAAUCUGACUUGCCUGAUCCAGAACGAAAGGGAGGUGCUGAGAUUUUGGCGGAGAGACACAGAGGAUGGCAAGGAGAGGUAGCUGGAAGAGACGUCACCAGAGGAAAUCGUUGCUGGAGAAGAUGUCACCAGAGAAGAUCGUCGGUUGGAGGAGAUCGUUGAAAAACGCAAGAGGAUCGAAGAUCGAAAAUCGUCAUACACGUGUUUCAACUUUCAACUAAAGUGUUUUUGAAAUUAGGGUUUGUCAAUUUGGGGUUUUUAUAUACAAGUGAACCGUCGUAAUAACCAAAAUCGCCACCAAAUAUUACGGCAGCAACCAAAAACGUCGUAAUAU